UACGUAGGCAGCGAGCGUUGUUCGGAGUUACUGGGCGUAAAGGGUGCGUAGGCGGUUGUUUUAAGUUUGGUGUGAAAUCUCCCGGCUCAACUGGGAGGGUGCGCCGAAUACUGAAUGACUAGAGUGCGGGAGAGGAUAGUGGAAUUCCUGGUGUAGCGGUGAAAUGCGUAGAUAUCAGGAGGAACACCGGUGGUGUAGACGGCUAUCUGGACCGUAACUGACGCUGAGGCACGGAAAGCCGUGGGUAGCAAACAGG
rnacentral:rRNA from 1 species